rnacentral:lncRNA from 1 species
AUGAAAUCAAGCCACGCUUCGGCUCCUGGUGGAGUUGGAUUGGGGGGGGACAUGGCAACCCUCCCCUCCCCUCCCACCCCAAACUGCAAUGCCCUCGCUAAGCACAUUAUCCCCGCGACAGCUCGGGGGAAGCGGUGCGUCCCGUGUGCCCCCCCAGUGCGACCCCCCUCAUUCUUCCUCUCCUGCGAGCAGCACCGCCAGAGUAAGGUGCCCGCCCCGAGGGCUCAGCACCGACCCCCAGAACCUCCCCAGCCCCGAUCUGGGAUUGGGGGGGGGAAGAGGGGAGAGAGUCACAACCCGUGUGCGCCUCCCGGAUAAGGGGACUUGAGAAGAGCAGUGGAAGAGACAGGUUCAGCUUUGGAGAGAGAGUAGUCAGCCAAAGAACUUCACAUGGAGUCCUUGAGCGCUAAAAAGAGAAAGUGCGGAAACUUCCCCAAAGGUCACCUUUCAAGCAGCAGACAAACUUCUCUCUCGACUUCUCUGGGGAUGAGUGCUCCGAAGAUCCUAAAAUCGAUAGCAAGUUAGAGAAGGAGCCCGGGCACAAGGUGCCCCUGGCCGGGGGGCGAGGCCAUGCCCCGCGCACCCGCUGCCACCGCCCGGCUGCUCCUUGCCCCCGACUAUCCCGGGACAAAACGGGCACUGGCAACACCAGGAGAAGUUAACAGGGAUGGGGAACGACCGAAGACAAGCGCUUUGAUUUCCUGUCUUCAGGGGAAAAAAUAUAUUAAAAUAAAAUAAAUAAUAUAAGGAGAAAGUAAAAUCUAUCCCGGCCCUAUGAUACAGACGAAAUUCCCGUCAUUUCUUUUCCUUAUCACAUCUCUUUUAAACCUAUUUUCCAACCUCAAAAAAACAAGCAAACAAACAAAAAACACCACUGUUUUGAAUAGCCAGGCAGUGUCCCCACUUCCCAGAAGCCACGGAACCUCUGCGGGGCAGCCCCGUCCCGUCCCCGGCCGCAGCGGGACGGGGCCCCCGCGCUCCCCGCAGCCCGGAACGGGAUUCGAGGAGGGCACAGGGCGAGCCUGCGGGGGCGAACCCCCCUCACGUGUAAUCACCGUCGUUAAUUCAUUCCUAAUAAUUCAUUAGAAAGGAGCAUUAAUUACUUCCUUUGGUAUAUUUUCGGGUUGCAGGCGCAGGGAAGGGAGCAGCGAUGUCCAGCCCGCUCCGAGACAGCCUUUGCCAGCACAGAUUGGCUUUUUUUUUUUUUUUUUUUUUUUCCGAAAGGGAUC